rnacentral:lncRNA from 1 species
CAGAUGGCCCCAAGCAUCGUGCUGAAGUGCUGUCUAGUGACCCUAAGCUCAGGAAGGAUGCGAUGUGCCUUAUGGAGAAAACACGUGUAUUAGGUGCCUCUCAGAGAGUUUAGAACAGUGCUGUAGAUCCAGACCCACAGAAGCGUACGUGAUUCAUUCCACGCUGAAAAAGGCCUUGGAGACCCGCUCACCAACCCUGCGUUUUACAGUGCUCACCAUCCAGAUCAAGGUAUGGAAUAUUAGCAGUGCCUCAGGAGUCUCCUUUGUACCAUCUCCCGAUCAUUACGCUCCGAAAGUAACCAAUAUCCUGACUGAGCACUAUCAAUUAAUUUUGUCUGACUCUGAAUUUCAUGUGAAUGGGAUCGUAGAGAACUGUACCUUUCCAUGUCUGACUUCUUUCCGUCACACUACAUCUGUGAGACUUAUCCAUGGCCUUGCACCGACAGUCAUC